rfam:Cavia porcellus supercont2_36 genomic scaffold, whole genome shotgun sequence.
ACGUUUGGGUAGUGGCAGUACUGUAGCCAAUGGUGUUUAUCCAAGGCAUGAUUAUUGCUAGUUAAAAACAUUUCCCAGAAAUGGUCUCCAAAAGAAGGAGACAAUUAUAAUAUAUUGCUAGCAAU